AGCUGGAACCAUUUCCCCUCCUGCUGUCACUCCAGGCUCCUCACAGCCAGGACCAUCAGCCAGCUUCAGGUGUUUCAGAUCCUCUGAAAAACAAGCUCUGAAAGGCUUCUCCUGUGAUAAACUGUCUGGUGUGGAUGCAAAUUUGGCAUGUUGGAAGAGAAGGAAGAGCAGGAAAUGCAUGAUUUGCCUGCAGGGAAAGAGCCCAGGGAAAAUGGAAACACAGCCCAGGUUGGAAACACCUACAAGACAAAGAUCUCUCCUGUGAUGACUUCACAAAUAAAGAUUUAAAGCUAUUAAUAGUAACAGCUCUAAGAGAUCAAUAGUUGUUCAGACCUAAAAGUCUGAUUUUUCCCCAGCUGAGGGAGAGGUUGGAAGGUAC